ACACUAACUGGAGGACCGAACCGACUAAUGUUGAAAAAUUAGCGGAUGACCUGUGGCUGGGGGUGAAAGGCCAAUCAAACCGGGAGAUAGCUGGUUCUCCCCGAAAGCUAUUUAGGUAGCGCCUCGUGAACUCAUCUCCGGGGGUAGAGCACUGUUUCGGCUAGGGGGCCAUCCCGGCUUACCAACCCGAUGCAAACUGCGAAUACCGGAGAAUGUUAUCACGGGAGACACACGGCGGGUGCUAACGUCCGUCGUGAAGAG
rnacentral:rRNA from 1 species